rnacentral:SRP_RNA from 1 species
GCUGGGCAUGGUGGUGUGUGCCUGUAGUCCCAGCUACUUGGGAAGCUGAGGCUGGAGGAUCCCUUGAGCCCCGGAGAUCUGAGCUGUAGUGCACUAUGCUGAUUGUGUGUCCACACUAAGUUCAGCAUAAGUAUGGUGACCUUCCCUGGGAGCAGGGGACCACCAGGUUGCCUGAGGAGAGGUGAACCAGCCCAGGUCAGAAACAGAGCAGGUCAAGAUUUCUGAACCUAUUGUAGCUAAUCUCUGAAGACCAACUCCUAACUUAACUCAGACUCUGCACUCAAUUAAAUUCCUUUU